AUACGUAGGUGGCAAGCGUUGUCCGGAAUUAUUGGGCGUAAAGCGCAUGUAGGCGGUUUGGUAAGUCGGUCGUGAAAAUGCGGUGCUUAACGCCGUAUGGCGAUUGAAACUGCUGAACUUGAGUGCAGGAGAGGAAAGGGGAACUCCCAGUGUAGCGGUGAAAUGCGUAGAUAUUGGGAAGACCACCGGUGGCGAAGGCGCCUUGCUGGCCUGUGCCGGACGCUCAGAUGCGAAAGCCAGGGUAGCUAACGGGAUUAGAUUCCCCGGUAGUCCUGGCCGUAAACGAUGGGUACUAGGUGGGGGAGGUAUCGACUCCUGCCGUGCCGGAGUUAACGCAAUAAGUACCCCGCCUGGGGAGUACGGCCGCAAGGCUUAAACUCAAAUGAAUUGACGGGG
rnacentral:rRNA from 1 species